UGGGUGAGUGUUCAUUUCAGAAGCGUCCA
rnacentral:piRNA from 1 species